AACGAACGCUGGCGGCAGGCCUAACACAUGCAAGUCGAGCGCCCCGCAAGGGGAGCGGCGGACGGGUGAGUACCGCGUGGGAACGUACCCUUUGCUACGGAAUAGCCUCGGGAAACUGGGAGUAAUACCGUAUGUGUCCUUCGGGAGAAAGAUUUAUCGGCAAGGGAUCGGCCCGCGUUGGAUUAGGUAGUUGGUGGGGUAAUGGCCUACCAAGCCGACGAUCCAUGGCUGGUUUGAGAGGAUGAUCAGCCACACUGGGACUGAGACACGGCCCAGACUCCUACGGGAGGCAGCAGUGGGGAAUCUUAGACAAUGGGCGCAAGCCUGAUCUAGCCAUGCCGCGUGAGCGAUGAAGGCCUUAGGGUUGUAAAGCUCUUUCAGGGGGGAAGAUAAUGACUGUACCCCCAGAAGAAGCCCCGGCUAACUCCGUG
rnacentral:rRNA from 1 species